AUACGUAGGUGGCGAGCGUUGUCCGGAUUUACUGGGUGUAAAGGGCGAGUAGGCGGGGAUUCAAGUCAGAUGUGAAAUACCGAGGCUUAACUUCGGAGCUGCAUUUGAAACUGGAUUUCUUGAGUGAUGGAGAGGCAGGCGGAAUUCCCGGUGUAGCGGUGAAAUGCAUAGAGAUCGGGAGGAACACCAGUGGCGAAGGCGGCCUGCUGGACAUUAACUGACGCUGAGGCGCGAAAGUGUGGGGAGCAAACAGGAUUAGAUACCCUGGUAGUCCACACCGUAAACGAUGGAUACUAGGUGUGGGGGGUUUGACCCCCUCCGUGCCGGAGUUAACACAAUAAGUAUCCCACCUGGGGAGUACGAUCGCAAGAUUGAAACUCAAAGGAAUUGACGGGG
rnacentral:rRNA from 1 species